rnacentral:rRNA from 1 species
AACGUAGGUGGCAAGCGUUAUCCGGAUUUACUGGGCGUAAAGCAUGUGCAGACGGGUUGGUAAGUGGUGUAUGAAAGCGUCCGGCUUAACCGGGCAAGCGUAGGCCAGACUGCCAGUCUUGAGAGUGGGAGAGGGAUGUGGAAUUCCGGGUGUAGUGGUGAAAUGCGUAGAGAUCCGGAGGAACCCCAGAGGCGAAGGCGGCCAUCUGGAUCAACACUGACGCUGAGGCACGAAAGCGUGGGGAGCAAACAGG